UACGUAGGGUGCGAGCGUUAAUCGGAAUUACUGGGCGUAAAGCGUGCGCAGGCGGUUAUGCAAGACAGAUGUGAAAUCCCCGGGCUCAACCUGGGAACUGCAUUUGUGACUGCAUGGCUAGAGUGCGGCAGAGGGGAUGGAAUUCCGCGUGUAGCAGUGAAAUGCGUAGAGAUGUGGAGGAACACCGAUGGCGAAGGCAGCCCCCUGGCUGAGAUUGACGCUCAGGCA
rnacentral:rRNA from 1 species